GGACGGGUGAGUAACGCGUGGGUAACCUGCCCUAUACACAUGGAUAACAUACUGAAAAGUUUACUAAUACAUGAUAAUAUAUAUUUACGGCAUCGUAGAUAUAUCAAAGUGUUAGCGGUAUAGGAUGGACCCGCGUCUGAUUAGCUAGUUGGUGAGAUAACUGCCCACCAAGGCGACGAUCAGUAGCCGACCUGAGAGGGUGAUCGGCCACAUUGGAACUGAGACACGGUCCAAACUCC
rnacentral:rRNA from 1 species